UACGGGGGGGGCAAGCGUUGUUCGGAAUUACUGGGCGUAAAGGGCUCGUAGGCGGCCAACUAAGUCGGACGUGAAAUCCCUCGGCUUAACCGGGGAACUGCGUCCGAUACUGGAUGGCUUGAGUUCGGGAGAGGGAUGCGGAAUUCCAGGUGUAGCGGUGAAAUGCGUAGAUAUUGGGAAGAACACCGGUGGCGAAAGCGCUCUGCUGGACCUGCACUGACACUGAGGGACGAAAGCUAGGGGAGCGAAAGGG
rnacentral:rRNA from 1 species